CAGCCCCUCGAGUGGUGGGGAUGAUUAUUUGGCCUAAAGCGUCCGUAGCCGGCCGUGUAAGUCUCCCGUUAAAUCCAGCGUCUCAAGCGUUGGACUGCGGGAGAUACUGUACGGCUAGAGAGUGGGAGAGGUCAGCGGUAUUCUGGGGGUAGGGGCGAAAUCCUUUGAUCCCCGGAGGACCACCAGUGGCGAAGGCUGCUGACUAGAACACGUCUGACGGUCAGGGACGAAAGCUGGGGUAGCGAACCGGAUUAGAGACCCGCGUAGUCC
rnacentral:rRNA from 1 species